AAGUACCCAUUAAAAAAAUACCCCUAAGUUUUCUAACUUAUUUACACUUCCAUGCCACUGAGAAUUAAAUUAAACUACUUAUUUUAAUGCUUAUCUUUUCCUGUUAAAUUAAUGAGUUUUCCUUAAUCAAAUUUAAACUUAAUAUCAUUAAAUGAACCUACAUAUUUUAAUGCUUGUCUUUUUCAGUUAAAUUAAUGAAGUUUCCUUAAUCAAAUUUAAACUUAAUGUCAUUAAAUGUACCUAAAAUUACAUCAUAUUUAACGUAGCUUAUUACGGAUGAGUACGGCCCA
rnacentral:lncRNA from 1 species